UCCGUGAAUCAAGUGAAUGAAUGGCGCAAGGCUCAAGAAAUCGCGCUCUCUCUGGAUGUGGUAGCGGCUGCAAAAUCACAGUUGGAGUUCCUUUCGCUGGUACAUGCCAAUUUCAAGCUGUUUGAGAGGCCUGUUCUGGAAAGGGCAAUUGAGAGGUGAGAUAUUUACUUGUUCGAUCUAGUUUGCUGAUUUCUUCUUGGAUUCUAGGUACCAGUACUGCUGCCUCCCGCUGUUAGCAAAUUCUUCUGGGACUUUUGUCCCGCCACUCGACUGCGGCUGGAUAUGGCAUUGCCAUCGCUUGAAUCCUGUGAGUGUGGCUAUUCAUUAUCUGUCCACUUCAAUCUACUAAAGUUA
rnacentral:lncRNA from 1 species